ensembl:miRNA mir-252 ncRNA
AUAAGUAGUAGUGCCGCAGGUAA